rnacentral:rRNA from 1 species
UAUUGGACAAUGGGCGAAAGCCUGAUCCAGCAAUGCCGCGUGAGUGAUGAAGGCCUUAGGGUUGUAAAGCUCUUUUACCAGGGAUGAUAAUGACAGUACCUGGAGAAUAAGCUCCGGCUAACUCCGUGCCAGCAGCCGCGGUAAUACGGAGGGAGCUAGCGUUGUUCGGAAUUACUGGGCGUAAAGCGCACGUAGGCGGCGAUUCAAGUCAGAGGUGAAAGCCCGGGGCUCAACCCCGGAACUCCCUUUGAAACUAGAUUGCUAGAAUCCUGGAGAGGUUAGUGGAAUUCCGAGUGUAGAGGUGAAAUUCGUAGAUAUUCGGAAGAACCCCAGUGGCGAAGGCGACUAACUGGACAGGUAUGACGCUGAAGUGCGAAU